GAGAGAGAGAGAGAGGAGAAAAGUAAAAAGCAGAGGUGAUUUGACUCCCACUGUUCAUCAUCUUCCCCACUUUCGCUGCCCCAAUCGCCAGUUUCUCUUCACCCGCGCUGCGCUCACACCGCCGGUCUCCACCAGCCAUCGUCGCGCCAACUCGACGACCCGUGAAGCUCCGCCGCGCCUGAGCCCCGCUCCGACAGCUCGCUUCGUCCGACGCCAAUAGCCGCGACCCAGCCUUCCUUGCUUGCUGCUCGCGGCCCCUGACGACAGCAGGUCCAGAUCCGAACGCCGGCCUCCGAGCAGCAACGCAGCCACGCCUUAGCCGGUGAUUCGCCUGCAGCCCGCACCGACCCACGACGGUCCGACGUCGCCCCGCCGCACCUCCUCCGCGAGCAAACCGCGACGCCAGCAGGUCCCGAGCGGCCGCUGCACCGCCGCGUCCUGCAACCCUCUGCCAUCCGACGCUGCGACUCGUCUGCAACCCGCGACCCAGCAGAUCCCGAGCCGGUUCGCCGUACCCCCCGCGAAAUUGCUGCUGCCUCGCCGAUCCGCUCCACCAGACCGACGAAGCCCACCGCGCCUCAACCGAUUUCCGUCCCCGAUCUGCCGCUCCGGAGCUGCUGCCCGACGCCGUUGCUCACCCUCUCGCCGGUGCCCGAACGCCGAUUGCUUCGCCCGUGCCGCCCCUGUCCCGCUUGACCCGUGACCAGUUGCUGUAGCUGCGUCCACCAGCCACCGAGUCCCUUCGCCGGAGCUCCAACCACCGUGACCUCCGUUGACGGUGACCCACCACCACAGCCACUGCCCUUGCCGGACUAAUCAACCAGCUUCCCGAUCCACUGCUUCAGUGACCAGCCUUGCACGAGCAAGCUUUGUGGGAAAAUAAAAGAAAAAAGGAAAAUUAGGUAGUUUAUUUAUUUAUUUAUCUUUUUUUUGAAGUCUUUAUUAUUUUUCCUUUAUAGUUUUUUUUAGUAGACUUGUUCCUUAAAUGUAUGAUUGAUAUUCCGACAUGAAAAAGUCCCUCAAGCUAGGGAUUGAUAGUCCGAUUUUCGCGCUCGAAAUCCGACUCGCAAUCCCUUACAAAAAUUGACAAUCCAAUCUCAAG
rnacentral:lncRNA from 1 species